CAAGUCGAGCGGCAGCGCGGGGCAACCUGGCGGCGAGCGGCGAACGGGUGAGUAAUGCAUCGGAACGUGUCCAUGUCGUGGGGGAUAGCCCGGCGAAAGCCGGAUUAAUACCGCAUACGCCCGAGAGGGGAAAGUGGGGGACCGCAAGGCCUCACGCGAUUGGUUCGGCCGAUGUCCGAUUAGCUAGUUGGCGGGGUAAAGGCCCACCAAGGCGAUGAUCGGUAGCUGGUCUGAGAGGAUGAUCAGCCACACUGGGACUGAGACACGGCCCAGACUCCUACGGGAGGCAGCAGUGGGGAAUUUUGGACAAUGGGGGCAACCCUGAUCCAGCCAUUCCGCGUGAGUGAAGAAGGCCUUCGGGUUGUAAAGCUCUUUUGUCCGGAACGAAACGGGCGACGUGAAUAUCGUCGUCUACUGACGGUACCGGAAGAAUAAGCACCGGCUAACUACGUGCCAGCAGCCGCGGUAAUACGUAGGGUGCGAGCGUUAAUCGGAAUUACUGGGCGUAAAGCGUGCGCAGGCGGUUUUGUAAGCCAGAUGUGAAAUCCCCGGGCUUAACCUGGGAAUGGCAUUUGGGACUGCAAGGCUGGAGUGCGGCAGAGGAGACUGGAAUUCCUGGUGUAGCAGUGAAAUGCGUAGAUAUCAGGAGGAACACCGAUGGCGAAGGCAGGUCUCUGGGCUGACACUGACGCUCAUGCACGAAAGCGUGGGGAGCAAACAGGAUUAGAUACCCUGGUAGUCCACGCCCUAAACGAUGUCGACUGGUUGUUGGGGGUUUGACACUCUCAGUAACGAAGCUAACGCGUGAAGUCGACCGCCUGGGGAGUACGGCCGCAAGGUUAAAACUCAAAGGAAUU
rnacentral:rRNA from 1 species